GACCUCAGAUCAGACGAGGCUACCCGCCGAACUUAAGCAUAUGCUAGCG
rnacentral:rRNA from 1 species